AACGCUGGCGGCGUGCCUAACACAUGCAAGUCGAACAAGAAAGGGACUUCGGUCCUGAGUACAGUGGCGCACGGGUGAGUAACACGUGACUAACCUACCCUCGAGUGGGGAAUAACUUCGGGAAACCGAGGCUAAUACCGCAUAAUACCCACGGGUCAAAGGAGCAAUUCGCUUGAGGAGGGGGUCGCGGCCGAUUAGCUAGUUGGCGGGGUAAUGGCCCACCAAGGCAGUGAUCGGUAUCCGGCCUGAGAGGGCGCACGGACACACUGGAACUGAAACACGGUCCAGACUCCUACGGGAGGCAGCAGUGGGGAAUUUUGCGCAAUGGGGGAAACCCUGACGCAGCAACGCCGCGUGGAGGAUGAAGUCUCUUGGGACGUAAACUCCUUUCGAUCGGAACGAUUAUGACGGUACCGGAAGAAGAAGCCCCGGCUAACUUCGUGCCAGCAGCCGCGGUAAUACGAGGGGGGCGAGCGUUGUUCGGAAUUAUUGGGCGUAAAGGGUGCGUAGGCGGUUCGGUAAGUUUGAUGUGAAAUCUUCGGGCUCAACUCGAAGUCUGCAUCGAAAACUGCCGGGCUUGAGUGUGGGAGAGGUGAGUGGAAUUUCCGGUGUAGCGGUGAAAUGCGUAGAUAUCGGAAGGAACACCUGUGGCGAAAGCGGCUCACUGGACCACAACUGACGCUGAUGCACGAAAGCUAGGGGAGCAAACAG
rnacentral:rRNA from 1 species